rnacentral:rRNA from 1 species
GGCGGCCUACACAUGCAAGUCGAGCGGAUGAGAGGAGCUUGCUCCUGGAUUCAGCGGCGGACGGGUGAGUAAUGCCUAGGAAUCUGCCUGGUAGUGGGGGACAACGUUUCGAAAGGAACGCUAAUACCGCAUACGUCCUACGGGAGAAAGCAGGGGACCUUCGGGCCUUGCGCUAUCAGAUGAGCCUAGGUCGGAUUAGCUAGUUGGUGAGGUAAUGGCUCACCAAGGCGACGAUCCGUAACUGGUCUGAGAGGAUGAUCAGUCACACUGGAACUGAGACACGGUCCAGACUCCUACGGGAGGCAGCAGUGGGGAAUAUUGGACAAUGGGCGAAAGCCUGAUCCAGCCAUGCCGCGUGUGUGAAGAAGGUCUUCGGAUUGUAAAGCACUUUAAGUUGGGAGGAAGGGCAGUAAAUUAAUACUUUGCUGUUUUGACGUUACCGACAGAAUAAGCACCGGCUAACUCUGUGCCAGCAGCCGCNNGUAAUACA